rnacentral:lncRNA from 1 species
AGAGAGGCAAAGGUGGGAGACGGUGGAAGCCAAGUCAAAAGGAAGAAGGAGGAAGAGGAAACAGUCGAGGUGUCGUGUGACGGUAGAGACCGAGGCUGUUUGGGUUUUCGAGCACUGCACCCGAGCUUGGUGCAUUCUUUUUCUUCUUUUGGUUUGUGUUUUUAACCAAACGGGUGUUCAUAUGUGUGUGUGUGUGUAGGUUUGGGAGCUAGGGAGCCGCGGGGUGGCCGAGAGAAGACCAUCAGGAGCCAAGCCG